AUUGAACGCUGGCGGCAUGCCUUACACAUGCAAGUCGAACGGCAGCACGGGAGCAAUCCUGGUGGCGAGUGGCGAACGGGUGAGUAAUAUAUCGGAACGUGCCCAGUCGUGGGGAUAACGUAGCGAAGCUACGCUAAUACCGCAUACGAUCUAUGGAUGAAAGCGGGGGAUCGCAAGACCUCGCGCGAUUGGAGCGGCCGAUAUCAGAUUAGGUAGUUGGUGAGGUAAAGGCUCACCAAGCCGACGAUCUGUAGCUGGUCUGAGAGGACGACCAGCCACACUGGGACUGAGACAGGCCCAGACUCCUACGGAGGCAGCAGUGGGGAAUUUUGGGACAAUGGGCGCAAGCCUGAUCCAGCAAUGCCGCGUGCAGGAUGAAGCCU
rnacentral:rRNA from 1 species